rnacentral:lncRNA from 1 species
GUGCACAGUAGGUCAUCUCUAAGGGACCCAUAACUCUAGACACAAUGCCAAUGCUUUGUAAGUAGUUGUGCUGGACUGUUUAGGGAUGAGGAGAAGAGAAUAUCUACAUAUGCUCAGUAUAGAUGCACAUUUUAAAAAUACUUUGAUCUACAGUUCUUUGACUAAGGAUGAAGAACUCAAAGAGAAGAGGUCACGCUCUCUUUCUUGGUUCUUACUAACAUUCUGCACACAUACAUUUAUCAAAAUGGCUUUGAGGCUGAAUGCCUCCACUUUUGCAUACCUCUUGCAUUGUAGACCUUCCGUUGUUACGGUGAUGGCUAAUCUUGGUUAUCAACUUGACUACAUCUAGAAUCAACUAAAACCCAAGCAACUCCACACACCUGUGAGGGAUUUUUUUUUUUUUCAAUUGGAUCAUUUGAGGUGGAAAAUCUGGUUCAAAUCUGGUAGCAGCCCACAAAAAAGGACAUGGAAGGAGGAAACUUUUGAUUUUUGCCUGCUUGCCUUCACUCUUACUAGCAAGUACAUCUGCCUUGUUGCUUCUUCGGGAUUCCAAUACAGACUGAAGACUAGCAGCUCUCUAGGACUCCAGCACCAAAGUGGGACUUUGGAGACAUCCAAUCUCUUGGACUUUCUGUUUAGAAGUGCCCACCAUCAGACCCCAACCUGUAACCACUCUAAUAAAUUUGAUAAAUUUUGUCCCCCAAGAGAA